rnacentral:lncRNA from 1 species
GUUCGUUUCCAAGACCUUAUGUUCGUUUACAAGCUCGUUAUGAAGCCUUGAAGGAGCUCUGUUUCUGGAGGCUGCAGGAGGCAUCAGGGAAGAAAGAACGAAAAUGCAUCCAAACCUCUGUCUGCGCGUCGGGGAAGGCUGGAGGUGCGGGUGGACGGACGGACGGACGGACGGACGGACGGACGGACGGAGGCAGCCGCGUCGCUCCUGGGCUCUCCCUAACUCCCAAUUAACCCAAGCAGGAUAACGAUGCCAAACCUUAUGCAAAGGACCUCUGUCAGUGUUUUGGAAUGACAGAAACCAGGUUCACCUAAGCCAGGGACUGGAGCUGGGUCUCUGAAGCUGACUCCCACACCAAUUUGUGGAGCCUCACACAUGGAGGGUGCUGUUUCCAGCAGCAGGAUUUGGAUGUGCAACCUGUGUGUGCAGAUACCAUCAAUCAGUUUGGGUUCUAGACACCAAAAAUAAACUCCAUGGAAAGGAUACA